GGGGGUCGAGAACGGGGUUAAAAACCCACCUUUUCUCGUUAAGAUCACCUCUCGCGGCUGAGCCAUGCGUUGGUGGCCGACAGUGGUGUUGGACGGGGAAGAGGGGGGAGAGAACUGAGAGUUCUCUGUUUCUUUUUUAAAUGGAAUGAAAUUAUUUUUUUCUCUUUAUUUUUUCUCUUUAUACAGGCUACCAUACGACGCCGUUUUGG
rnacentral:lncRNA from 1 species